CCCGCUCAGAAACUCAAAGGAAUUGACGGGGCCCGCACAAGCGGUGGAGUAUGUGGUUUAAUUCGAUGCAAUGCGAAGAACCUUACCUGGUCUUGACAUCCCGGAGACCCUUAGGAAACUAGGGGGUGCUUCCAUCUGGAAGAAUCUGGAGACAGGUGCUGCAUGGCUGUCGUCAGCUCGUGUCGUGAGAUGUUGGGUUAAGUCCCGCAACGAGCGCAACCCUUGCCUUUAGUUGCCAGCAGUUCGGCUGGGCACUCUAAAGGGACUGCCGGUGUUAAACCGGAGGAAGGUGGGGAUGACGUCAAGUCCUCAUGGCCUUUAUGACCAGGGCUACACACGUACUACAAUGGCCGAUACAAAGGGCAGCGACACUGCGAGGUGAAGCCAAUCCCGUAAAAUCGGUCUCAGUCCGGAUUGGAGUCUGCAACUCGACUCCAUGAAGUUGGAAUCGCUAGUAAUCGUGGAUCAGCAUGCCACGGUGAAUACGUUCCCGGGCCUU
rnacentral:rRNA from 1 species